rnacentral:rRNA from 1 species
AGUGAACGCUGGCGGUAGGCCUAACACAUGCAAGUCGAACGGCAGCACAGAGGAGCUUGCUCCUUGGGUGGCGAGUGGUGGACGGGUGAGGAAUACAUUGGAAUCUACUCUGUCGUGGGGGAUAACGUAGGGAAACUUACGCUAAUACCGCAUACGACCUACGGGAGAAAGCAGGGGAUCUUCGGACCUUGCGCGAUUGUAUGAGCUGAUGUCGGAUUAGCUAGUUGGCGGGGUAAAGGCCCACCAAGGCGACGAUCCGUAGCUGGUCUGAGAGGAUGAUCAGCCACACUGGAACUGAGACACGGUCCAGACUCCUACGGGAGGCAGCAGUGGGGAAUAUUGGACAAUGGGCGCAAGCCUGAUCCAGCCAUACCGCGUGGGUGAAGAAGGCCUUCGGGUUGUAAAGCCCUUUUGUUGGGAAAGAAAUCCAUCUGGUUAAUACCCGGGUGGGAUGACGGUACCCAAGGAAUAAGCACCGGCUAACUACGUGCCAGCCGCCGCGGUAA